rnacentral:rRNA from 1 species
GAUGAACGCUGGCGGCGUGCCUAAUACAUGCAAGUCGAGCGAACGGACGAGAAGCUUGCUUCUCUGAUGUUAGCGGCGGACGGGUGAGUAACACGUGGAUAACCUACCUAUAAGACUGGGAUAACUUCGGGAAACCGGAGCUAAUACCGGAUAAUAUUUUGAACCGCAUGGUUCAAAAGUGAAAGACGGUCUUGCUGUCACUUAUAGAUGGAUCCGCGCUGCAUUAGCUAGUUGGUAAGGUAACGGCUUACCAAGGCAACGAUGCAUAGCCGACCUGAGAGGGUGAUCGGCCACACUGGAACUGAGACACGGUCCAGACACCGACGGGAGGCAGCAGGAGGGAAUCUUCCGCAAUGGGCGAAAGCCUGACGGAGCAACGCCGCGUGAGUGAUGAAGGUCUUCGGAUCGUAAAACGCUGUUAUUAGGGAAGAACAUAUGUGUAAGUAACUGUGCACAUCUUGACGGUACCUAAGCAGAAAGCCACGGCUAACUACGU